GUCGUACGCUUCUUUUUCCACCGGAGCUUGCUCCACCGGAAAAAGAAGAGUGGCGAACGGGUGAGUAACACGUGGGUAACCUGCCCAUCAGAAGGGGAUAACACUUGGAAACAGGUGCUAAUACCGUAUAACAAUCGAAACCGCAUGGUUUUGAUUUGAAAGGCGCUUUCGGGUGUCGCUGAUGGAUGGACCCGCGGUGCAUUAGCUAGUUGGUGAGGUAACGGCUCACCAAGGCCACGAUGCAUAGCCGACCUGAGAGGGUGAUCGGCCACAUUGGGACUGAGACACGGCCCAAACUCCUACGGGAGGCAGCAGUAGGGAAUCUUCGGCAAUGGACGAAAGUCUGACCGAGCAACGCCGCGUGAGUGAAGAAGGUUUUCGGAUCGUAAAACUCUGUUGUUAGAGAAGAACAAGGAUGAGAGUAACUGUUCAUCCCUUGACGGUAUCUAACCAGAAAGCCACGGCUAACUACGUGCCAGCAGCCGCGGUAAUACGUAGGUGGCAAGCGUUGUCCGGAUUUAUUGGGCGUAAAGCGAGCGCAGGCGGUUUCUUAAGUCUGAUGUGAAAGCCCCCGGCUCAACCGGGGAGGGUCAUUGGAAACUGGGAGACUUGAGUGCAGAAGAGGAGAGUGGAAUUCCAUGUGUAGCGGUGAAAUGCGUAGAUAUAUGGAGGAACACCAGUGGCGAAGGCGGCUCUCUGGUCUGUAACUGACGCUGAGGCUCGAAAGCGUGGGGAGCAAACAGGAUUAGAUACCCUGGUAGUCCACGCCGUAAACGAUGAGUGCUAAGUGUUGGAGGGUUUCCGCCCUUCAGUGCUGCAGCUAACGCAUUAAGCACUCCGCCUGGGGAGUACGACCGCAAGG
rnacentral:rRNA from 1 species